AAUAUAUGACUACGGGCGCCGGGAUUCGAACCCGGGUCUCAAACGUUCGUAACCUAAUGAGCUAACCACUGCGCUACCGUUGUCCGGUAGAAGUUAGUGUCGAGUGGCGGUAUUUGUUGUCGAGUGCCGCCACAUAAUGUUUUUGUAAGUUGAUUUGUGCAUAAAAUCAUUUUACGCUAACUGUAAGACACGCGUCUCGUAUACGCUAAAUCGUCCAGAGUUGCUACUACGCCCGACCGAAAAAGUCCUCGAGUGCGAAGGGUUAAAUCAACCUCUUCAGUACGAUGCGCCAUUAUAGUGGUUUUCGCGGAUGUCAUCUUAUAUUACGACGCGCCACUAUAGUGGCUCACUCUACUGACUCAUUCGCUCACCGUUUGAACUAAAUGAUCUAUUUCACUUGUCUUGUUUCAUACGCAUUUGCCCUCACAACGUUUUAUAACAGAAUUAACAAUGUAAAGACAGAAUAUAUAGUCUUUGUUUUUGGUACGCCAGUGUCGGGUGUCAAUUGUUGCUUUUCAUGAAAAUAAAUUAUUAGUUCAUUAUUAGUUGCUCUUUUUAACGUGCCGAUCCGUAUCCUUAUAAUUUUUUAGAAUCUUCAACCUCAAAAUGUCGCUUCAAAAUAGAAAACUAAGAGCAAUUUGAAAGACACUAUCGCGUUAUAAGUGUGAAAAUUGUGACGUGGUCUAUGUGUCGCACCGUGCUUUAAAAUAUAUCACACUCAACUGUAUUAUUAAUUAUUAAAGUAAAUUAUUAAAGUUACAGUAUAUGCAUCAUAUCUUUAAGAAAAAUUAUAAUUUAGUUAUCCUUCCAAAACUUCGUUCCAAUGCGCUUGCGUAGGGAGCAGCAUUAUCCGUCACACAUUGCAGUGCUGUAUCGUCCAUUUAUGUAGGAUUGAAACAGUAUAAAAUACAUUAAUUGUAAGCUAGAAAAUACUUUUUUAAAAACAGGAGUAGCGUUCGCAUCUUAAAAAACAACAAAAUGCAUUCUUUUAACGAUUAAUUCUGCAACAUUCCCGAUUCUGGAUUAUUCCAAAAUGCUGUGCACAAGUAACGACCCCUUCUAUACUUAUUUGAAUUGUAUAUUAAAAAUCAUUACUUUUUUUUUAAAUAUUUUUUGUUAAUACUUAUUGAUUUUCGUGUAAACGCAUUGAUCAGAAUUUCGAUUUUACUAAGAUUUUACUUUGAUUUUACAUUACAAUUAGAUCAAUUUAAAUUCAAAUUGGAUUAGGUUUGUUACUGCAGACAAUUGCUACGCUUGGAUUGAAAACUUAAGAAAAAUUAACCAGUAGAAAUGCGAUAUACAGGGUGUUUCACUUAAAACAGGCAAUCUAAAUAUUUUCUCUGCCUAUGCAUAAUACGAGACAUAUUCCUUACGUAAUUUAAAUGAUUUUAAGUGGCGAUUUAGAUGGAGGAACAUUUUUUAAAUAAAUAUCCUUUCAUAUCUUCUUUUCCAGAUAUUCAAGGAUUUGGUAGCUGUUAAAUCUCUCAUUGUAUCGAUAAACGAUCUGCAAUGCAUUAUUCAAAGCGGGAGGAAGUCACAAUGGUUUUAUCGUGAUCUGUAUACGCAAGUGUCGAUGGAAACAAGCGUGCGAGACGUAAAUCUGUUACUCGUAAUAGAAGUCGGAGGAACAUCAUCGCCAAUUAAUCAAAUUACGAGGUUUGUGAGAAUCACGUAUCGGUAUAAAUUCAACAUUAAUUUGGAAUUAGCGUGUCAAACAUAUUCCGGAUGCCUGAUUCAUAAAAAUGUUAUCCUUUUCAUCUAUUUUUUCAUCAAGGCCUCCACAGAAAUCACAUUUCAAAUCGCAUAUUGUAGUAUAGUGGACGAAAGGCCUAAGAAAUAUCGGGCGAACUAUAAACAAUAGUCUGUCCAUCAAUCGAAUAGUUUCGCGGAAAAGGCUUGCGUGACCCUGACCACGAGCGGUUGCGGAACACGUGCGUGAUGGGGCUAAGACGAAAGACAAAGGGAUGCUAAGGGACAAAGACGAAUUAACAGUCAGUGUUGAUUGAGAAGCCAGAGAGCGUGAAUCGAGCGUUGUCGAGAGAAUGUAGUCCGCGUGACAGAGAGCGAUGGAACUGUAGUGACGAGAGUUGCAAAUCAACUAUUUAGUUGUUUUAAUUAUAAUACGUUAUUGUGAUUAGUUCACGUUAAACAACCAUCGUUUCCUGUUUAACCAACAUCUGUUUAAUCCAUUUACUUUAAAUAAACUAAUUGUAGUAAA